UGAGUGCGAGCUGCUACGGCAGCGAAGUUGGUGAUGUCAUGCUUCCAAGAAAAGCCCUAUACCCGUUAAGGCAUCAUGGCCUGUACCCGAAACCGACACAGGUGGGGUGGUAGAGAAUACCGAGGGGCGCGAGGUAACUCUCUCUAAGGAACUCGGCAAAAUGGCCCCGUAACUUCGGGAGAAGGGGUGCCACCGCAAGGUGGUCGCAGUGAAGAGGCCCAGGCGACUGUUUACCAAAAACACAGGUCUCUGCUAAGUCGCAAGACGAUGUAUGGGGGCUGACGCCUGCCCAGUGCCGGAAGGUUAAGGAAGCUGGUCAGCGCAAGCGAAGCUAGCGACUGAAGCCCCGGUGAACGGCGGCCGUAACGAUAACGGUCCUAAGGUAGCGAAAUUCCUUGUCGGGUAAGUUCCGACCCGCACGAAAGGCGUAACGAUCUGGGCGCUGUCUCGGAGAGAGGCUCGGCGAAAUAGAAUUGUCUGUGAAGAUGCGGACUACGUGCACCCGGACAGAAAGACCCUAUGAAGCUUUACUGUAGCUUGGUAUUGUGCCCGGGCUUGCAAUGCGCAGGAUAGGUGGGAGGCUUUGAUCAUCGGCUUGCGGGUCGAUGUGAGCCAACGGUGAGAUACCACUCUUUGCGAGCUAGGGUUCUAACGGCCACCCGUCAUCCGGGGGCCGGACAGUACCUGGUGGGCAGUUUGACUGGGGCGGUCGCCUCCUAAAAGGUAACGGAGGCGCGCAAAGGUUUGCUCAGGCUGGUUGGAAAUCAGCCGACGAGUGUAAAAGCAGAAGCAAGCUUGACUGUGAGACCAACAAGUCGAACAGGGAGGAAACUCGGCUUUAGUGAUCCGACGGUUCUGAGUGGAAGGGCCGUCGCUCAACGGAUAAAAGUUACUCUAAGGAUAACAGGCUGAUCUCCCCCAAGAGUUCACAUCGACGGGGAGGUUUGGCACCUCGAUGUCGGCUCAUCGCAACCUGGGGCUGAAGUCGGUCCCAAGGGUUGGGCUGUUCGCCCAUUAAAGCGGUACGCGAGCUGGGUUCAGAACGUCGUGAGACAGUUCGGUCCAUAUCCGGUGCACGCGCAGGAAUAUUGAGAGGAUUUCUCCCUAGUACGAGAGGACCGGGAGGAACGCACCUCUGGUGUACCAGUUAUCGUGCCAACGGUAAACGCUGGGUAGCCAUGUGCGGAGUGGAUAACCGCUGAAAGCAUCUAAGUGGGAAGCCCACCUCAAGAUGAGUAUUCCCAUGGCGUAAGCCAGUAAGGUCACGGGAAGAACACCCGUUGAUAGGCUCUAUGUGGAAGCGCAGUAAUGCGUGAAGCAGAGGAGUACUAAUAGACCGAGGGCUUGAC
rnacentral:rRNA from 1 species